AGGAAAACAACAGGCGAAUAUCCGUUGAAUAUCCAACCUGAAACUGCCUUUACCUCGGUAAGAUAUACUUACCAAGGCUCUGGCUAUCUGACGAGAAAUACCCCGCCUUUCAGACGGGCUUUAGGGCUUCUGGAGUGGGGGAAUAAUUUGGUUGUGCUGGAGAACCUCCAGCAGCUCAAAGUACCUGAAAAGGGAAUCCCGGGGCCAGGUGACCUUCUCGUCCUCCUCCUGCUCCUGCAUCACCUUCAUAUUCUCCUCCACGUAAGACUCCCAGUCUAACAGAGAGGGGUAAUACGAGUUCAUUAGGGCAUGAAACAGAAAAAUGCUGUAAAACUGUUUGCAGCAGAAAACGAGUCCAGGGAUACCCUCUCUGUUUCAGUUUGUUUCAAGUUUGGUGCCUUUAUGAUGGCCCAGAUGGCCCAGACUACUCUUUUAGAGUGCAUCAUAGUAAUGAGAUCUCAGUGUCCAGGGCAUGUUGGUAUGUUCACUGUAAUUCUUAACAGAAUUGAUGUACUGUACCAAAUAUCAUCACAAACUCCAAAUGUACUCCCUAUGAUUUAUUGGGUAUCACCAACAUUUUGACACAAAUUUGGUUCUUUGGAAGUUGUGGGAAUGUGUGUUUUUGGUUUCAGAUUGGUUUCCAGGAACCGAGCCCUAAGUUUUCUGACGGGUAAAACUGAAAGUUUAAAAAAAAAAUAUUCCAGACUGUUAUGGGAACAUUAAUUUUUUUGGUUGCAGGGAGAUUCUGAGAACAUUUCACUCGAGUUUCUGGGAGGUUUUAUUAACUCUCUGAGAAUGGAAAUGAUAGUUUAUUUGAAGGUAAUUAAAAAACAUUCUCUAAAUGUCAUGAAAGUUUUGUUAAGUUAUUAGUGAAAGUUUGCCAACAAUCACAGUAGGUGUGAUCUUGCACACACUUAACAAGCUGGAGGAUUAGAGAGUUUUGUUGAUGCUGAGAAUGUAAUGUAUAUGUAAAUAACAUUCUUAGAGCGUUCUCUGAAAGUUACUUAAGUUUCUGUAUUUUUUCUGGAAAGUUUUCUUCAUGUUCUGAGAACAGAAUUUAGAGCUUAUUGAUGGUAAUGUUUUUCGUAACAUUUAGAAUUCCAUUUUUGUUUACAACAUUCCCAGAAUAUUACCAAGAACGGACAUAAAAGAGAACCAUACACUCUCGGAAAGUUCUGAGAAAAUUGCUUAAGUUACACCGUUUUUGAGAAUGUUCCCAGAAUGUAGUCAAAAUAUUGCAUUAAAUAGAACCACAUGGGAACUUGUGCAGAAUGUUCUGUACUGAAAUUCCCACAGAAGACCGUUGUUUCUUAACAUUGUCUGAACAAUUUGAGAACAUUCCCAAUGUCAAACCAUUUAGAGAACGUUCUUCAAAUAUUAUCCAAAUGUAAUUAAAUGUAACCAUGUGUUAACUUUUAGGAAUCGUUCUGUUAAAGUAAUGAAAGAGUUUUUUUUGUCAAGUUCCUUAAAUGUGCUGAGGAUGUUCCAAAGCCAAGCAACUAUCCUGCACCAUUCACAAAACGCUGUGGGGAAGUUGUAUGCAAAAUAACCAUAGGACAACCUCUAACCUCUCAGCUCUAAGAAACGUAGGGUUCUUAGAAUGUUCUUUGUUCUGUGACAAAAUAAAUUGCUCUUUUGUCUCAUUGCAGGAUCGCAAAGAAAUAGUCCCUAUUCAAAGUAUGAUGAGUUUAUUACGGUGUCCCAAUGGUGGUUAGGUUUGAAAAUAACCCACUGUCACGCCCUGACCUUAGAGAUCCUUUUUAUGUCUCUAUUUUGGUUUGGUCAGGGCGUGAGUUGGGGUGGGCACUCUAUGUUUUGGCCAGGUAUGGUUCUCAAUCAGGGACAGCUGUCUAUCAUUGUCUCUGAUUGGGAACCAUACUUAGGUACCCCUUUUCCCACCUGUGUUUGUGGCAAGUUGUCUUUGUUUGCGGGCGCUAGUGCCUUUAGCAGCACAGUUUGUUUUGUAUGGUUUAUUUUUUUGUUUUUGUUGGCGUCAUUCUUUAAUAAAGUAAUAUGUACGCUGCA